UACGUAGGGGGCAAGCGUUGUCCGGAUUUAUUGGGCGUAAAGAGCGUGUAGGCGGUCAGGUAGGUCCGUUGUGAAAACUCGAGGCUCAACCUCGAGACGCCGAUGGAAACCAUCUGACUAGAGUCCGGAAGAGGAGAGUAGAAUUCCUGGUGUAGCGGUGAAAUGCGCAGAUAUCAGGAAGAACACCCGUGGCGAAGGCGCCACUCUGGGCCGAAACUGACGCUGAGGAGCGAAAGCGUGGGGAGCAAACGGG
rnacentral:rRNA from 1 species